rnacentral:rRNA from 1 species
CUGACGACCGGCGCACGGGUGCGUAACGCGUAUAGAACCUACCUUUUACUGAGGGAUAGCCUUUAGAAAUGAAGAUUAAUACCUCAUAUUAUUUAGAUAUGGCAUCAUGUUUAAAUGAAAGAUUUAUUGGUAAAAGAUGGCUAUGCGUCCUAUUAGUUAGUUGGUGAGGUAACGGCUCACCAAGACAGCGAUAGGUAGGGGUCCUGAGAGGGAGAUCCCCCACACUGGUACUGAGACACGGACCAGACUCC